rnacentral:rRNA from 1 species
GCUUACGGCCAUACCACCCUGAGAACGCCCGAUCUCGUCUGAUCUCGGAAGCUAAGCAGGGUCGGGCCUGGUUAGUACUUGGAUGGGAGACCACCUGGGAAUACCA